AACGAACGCUGGCGGCAUGCCUAACACAUGCAAGUCGAACGAGACCUUCGGGUCUAGUGGCGCACGGGUGCGUAACGCGUGGGAGCCUGCCCUUAGGUUCGGAAUAACUCCCCGAAAGGGGUGCUAAUACCGGAUAAUGUCUUCGGACCAAAGAUUUAUCGCCUUUGGAUGGGCCCGCGUUGGAUUAGCUAGUUGGUAGGGUAAAAGCCUACCAAGGCGACGAUCCAUAGCUGGUCUGAGAGGAUGAUCAGCCACACUGGGACUGAGACACGGCCCAGACUCCUACGGGAAGCAGCAGUGGGGAAUAUUGGACAAUGGGCGAAGGCCUGAUCCAGCAAUGCCGCGUGAGUGAUGAAGGCCUUAGGGUUGUAAAGCUCUUUUACCCGGGAUGAUAAUGACAGUACCGGGAGAAUAAGCUCCGGCUAACUCCGUG
rnacentral:rRNA from 1 species